GAAAUAAUGAUAUCCUUCGAACGAUCCUUUAAUUCUAUGUAACCAUCAGGAUGCUUCACUGCUAAGUCCCCGCUUCGAAACCAACCCCCUCUAAAAGCAUCUUCUGUAGCUUUGCGAUCUUUUAAGUAACCAUUCAUUACUGUGUUUCCUCUAAUCAUCACCUCACCCAUUGUUUUUGCAUCUGAGGGUACACUCUUCAUUGAUUCAGAAUCCUUUACGUCUACAUCCUCCAAGCCAAGAUGGUUCACUCCUUGACGAGCCUGAAUAUUAGCCUGCUCAUCAGGUGAUAGAGAGUUCCAC
rnacentral:misc_RNA from 1 species